rnacentral:rRNA from 1 species
UACGGAGGGUGCAAGCGUUAUCCGGAUUCACUGGGUUUAAAGGGUGCGUAGGUGGAUUAGUAAGUCAGUGGUGAAAUCUCCGGGCUUAACCCGGAAACUGCCAUUGAUACUAUUAGUCUUGAAUACCGUGGAGGUCAGCGGAAUAUGUCAUGUAGCGGUGAAAUGCGUAGAUAUCCGGAGGAACAUCAGUGGCGAAGGCGGCUUCCUGGCCUAAGACUGACGCUGAGGUACGAAAGCGUGGGGAGCAAACAGG